rnacentral:rRNA from 1 species
GACGAACGCUGGCGGCGUGCUUAACACAUGCAAGUCGAACGGAAAGGCCCUGCUUUUGUGGGGUGCUCGAGUGGCGAACGGGUGAGUAACACGUGAGUAACCUGCCCUUGACUUUGGGAUAACUUCAGGAAACUGGGGCUAAUACCGGAUAGGAGCUCCUGCUGCAUGGUGGGGGUUGGAAAGUUUCGGCGGUUGGGGAUGGACUCGCGGCUUAUCAGCUUGUUGGUGGGGUAGUGGCUUACCAAGGCUUUGACGGGUAGCCGGCCUGAGAGGGUGACCGGCCACAUUGGGACUGAGAUACGGCCCAGACUCCUACGGGAGGCAGCAGUGGGGAAUAUUGCACAAUGGGCGGAAGCCUGAUGCAGCAACGCCGCGUGCGGGAUGACGGCCUUCGGGUUGUAAACCGCUUUCGCCUGUGACGAAGCGUGAGUGACGGUAAUGGGUAAAGAAGCACCGGCUAACUACGUGCCAGCAGCCGCGGUGAUACGUAGGGUGCGAGCGUUGUCCGGAUUUAUUGGGCGUAAAGGGCUCGUAGGUGGUUGAUCGCGUCGGAAGUGUAAUCUGGGGCUUAACCCUGAGCGUGCUUUCGAUACGGGUUGACUUGAGGAAGGUAGGGGAGAAUGGAAUUCCUGGUGGAGCGGUGGAAUGCGCAGAUAUCAGGAGGAACACCAGCGGCGAAGGCGGUUCUCUGGGCCUUUCCUGACGCUGAGGAGCGAAAGCGUGGGGAGCGAACAGGCUUAGAUACCCUGGUAGUCCACGCUG